rnacentral:rRNA from 1 species
GACAGAGGGGGCAAGCGUUGCUCGGAAUUACUGGGCGUAAAGGGCGCGUAGGCGGGAUGGCAAGUCGGUCGUGAAAUUCCUCGGCUCAACUGAGGAUCGUCGAUCGAUACUGCCGUUCUUGAGGAUUGCAGAGGAGACUGGAAUUCCCGGUGUAGCGGUGAAAUGCGCAGAUAUCAGGAGGAACACCAAUGGCGAAGGCAGCACUCUGGGACGUGACUGACGCUGAGACGCGAAAGCGUGGGGAGCAAACAGG